rnacentral:rRNA from 1 species
UACAGAGGUCUCAAGCGUUGUUCGGAUUCAUUGGGCGUAAAGGGCGCGUAGGCUGCGGGGCAAGUCGGGUGUGAAAUCUCAGAGCUCAACUCUGAAACUGCACUCGAUACUGCUUUGCUUGAGGACUGGAGAGGAGAUUGGAAUUCACGGUGUAGCAGUGAAAUGCGUAGAUAUCGUGAGGAAGACCAGUGGCGAAGGCGGAUC